AGAGUCAACAACACCAUCUCUGAUCCCUCUGGCAGGUUUGUUUUGGUGCAGGGGAAUAUGUUUUCAGAGUCAACAACACCAUCUCUGAUCCCUCUGGCAGGUUUGUUUUGGUGCAGGGGAAUAUGUUUUCAGAGUCAACAACACCAUCUCUGAUCCCUCUGGCAGGUUUGUUUUGGUGCAGGGGAAUAUGUUUUCAGAGUCAACAACACCAUCUCUGAUCCCUCUGGCAGGUUUGUUUUGGUGCAGGGGAAUAUGUUUUCAGAGUCAACAACACCAUCUCUGAUCCCUCUGGCAGGUUUGUUUUGGUGCAGGGGAAUAUGUUUUCAGAGUCAACAACACCAUCUCUGAUCCCUCUGGCAGGUUUGUUUUGG